ACUUGUUUAGGUUCUUCUGAAAUUUCCAAAUUGCAAAUUGAUUGGUCUCGAAACUUGGCAGCUCAACCCAGACUCUGGCUCCCAUUUCUCUCUCUCUCCUGUCGAUGCUAAAAGUUGUUACAUAUCCUCAGUAAUUUCCGUCACACAUAUACAUAAAUUCGAUGCUCGUUAGAAGAUUCUGUGUCUCUUUAUCUCGUUCAGAGAUCAACCCAAUUUGCAACCCCAGCAAAUUGUUCAAUUUCCGCACAAACCCUCAAAAAAUUCGCAUUUUUUCUUGCCAAAAUCCGGCGAAAUUGGCCCUUCAAGCGGCUAAUAUCAUAACCCACAAAUCCUACUCCUCAAAUUCCCAAAUGGGUGAUGCCCGGCGACCCCUUUCGGUGCCGAUACCGGACAUCGAGAAGGCAGACCGGUCUGAGCUGCUUCGAGCCCUUGAAACGUCGUUGGGGUCGUCGUUCAGUUCGGCGCCAUUGGUGCCGAAUCCAAACCCUUUGAUUAUAGUCAUUAGCGGGCCGAGCGGGGUAGGGAAAGAUGCAGUAAUCAAGAGAUUGAGGGAGGUGAGAGAGAACAUACAUUUUGUUGUUACUGCCACUAGUAGGCCUAUGAGGCCUGGGGAGGUUGAUGGGAGAGAUUAUUUCUUCGUUUCUAAAGACGAGUUUCUGGGAAUGGUGGAGAAGGGUGAGUUAUUGGAGCAUGCUUUGGUGUAUGGGGAUUAUAAGGGCAUCCCAAAGCAGCAGAUUAGGGAGUUUAUGGCGAAAGGGAGUGACAUUGUGUUGAGGGUUGAUAUUCAAGGGGCAGCUACAUUGAGGAGGAUUCUUGGGAAUUCGGCAGUUUUUAUAUUUGUGGUGGCAGAGAGUGAGUAUGCAAUGGUGAAUAGGUUGAUUGGGAGGAAGACUGAAACGAGGGAGAUGUUGUUGGUGAGGAUUGCCACGGCUCGGGAGGAGGUUAAGCAUGCUAACAAUUUUGAUUAUGUGGUUGUUAAUGCGGAUGGGCAGCUUGAGAGUGCAGUGAAGCUUGUAGAGUCUGUGAUUGAUGCUGAGAAGGCUAGAGUUAGUCCGAGGAAUGUGAGGAUAUAACAUUUGUUGAGCUAGUUUUUUGUUGUUCUUGGUGAGGUUAUCUGAGAAAAUUAGCUGGAGUUAGUUUCUCGUAAUUGUUCUUUGACUUCAUGGGGCUGUUAGGUUUGAGGUAUUCAAGAAAGGAAAUGAAGUUAGUAACUUGUCAGUAAUUAUUCAAUGCUCUUCCACAAUUUUAUCCAUCAACUUUCUUUAAUCUUCCAAUUUGCCUUUUUGGUUUAUCCUAAACAUCUCCUCACCAUUUCCCUGUUCCCCAUCUACUCCUGAUGGACCUUAUUUCAUAGGAAGGUUGCAAAUAGAAAACUCAGAAUUAAAAUAUAAAAUAAAAAGGUUCUAUCCUUCACCAUAAAUACCCAACCAUCACUUCAUGCCCAGCCCCACCAUCCUUUCACCACACUUCCCAGUCCCUGCCAUCCUACCGUUGCCCCAAAAUGCCUUUUGCCUGCAUCCUGUUCUCCUUUUCCCGCCACCCCUGACUCACUGCUCCAUUGGCCUUUGUUGGGCCUCUCUACCACUGUCAUGAUUGUCAGGGGUGGCAUCAUGUUAGAAACUUGUCUUCAUGACUUCUGGCCCAUAGUGGAAUGUGUGAAAUUGUGCUGGCCACAAGCAAGAAGAGCAUGACGGUGCAUAGUCAGGACGUUGGAAUAAGAAACACUAUCAGCCAAGGAAUGGUCUCAGAGAACCUGGUUUAAUCGUGUACAAAGAUGGGCUUGGAAAACACUUGGGUAGCAGGAUGGAGAACCUGCGUCAUAUGUUCAUAUCGUCGAGGACCUAAGUUAGUCGAGCAAAGUGGGCCAUAUAUUUUACAUCGUAGGAAAUCAUAUCUCAUUUCCUGUGUGUAAGCCUUCUUUGUACGGAGUAAUCAGAAACAGUGUUUGGAACCUGUUUCCUAGCUUGUUUCCUGGACCUCUACUGUUGCAUCCAGCUGCAUUGAAGUAGUACCUGAGCACAAUUUGUUGUUGAUUCCUUUUCCUCAGCCUUCCAUGAACCAAAUGAGCUAAUAAUGUUUUUGAAAGGCAUCAGAGUGGUCCAAUAAAUGCACCAUCUAAUUUUGUAAGUGCUAUCUGUUUACUGCAUUUUCUUGCUUUAUUUGCUUCCCCUCCUCAGUGUCCAGUCGUUUUAAUAGACAACAUCUAUGAUUCCUAGUUUCUGAGACAGAAGGGUUUGUCACUUUUCCUCAAAGUGGUGGUUGGCUCUUUCUCUACAGUUCUCUGAGAAUUAUAUCUUACACCAGGCUUCAAAUUUUGUUUGACUACCUAUCUAAAAGCAUUAAGUUUUUACGACUUCAUCUAGAAAGACAGGAGAAUAGGAUGCAGGGGAUAUGGAUUGUCUUGGUAAAAUGAGUCACAGGAGGAUUGACCACAAGCAAAUUAGCAAUAAGUAGGCGAGGGUGUUUUUUUGGUGUGUGUAUACAGUUAUACACUAGCUAAUGUGAUCUAUUAUGCUAUGUAAUUCUGUGGUUUUGCCCCAAUCAUGUAGUAACUGUUUUAGACUACAAUUUUCUUUCCUAUUUUAACUUUUUACAGUGAUUUUAUUAUGGUAAGUUUAUAUUAGUAACAACCCUGUUUUUUCUGACUUGGAUGACCUAAACCCUAGUCAAAUACAGAGUAGCUCUUAAUGGCCUAUGCUCUCCGAUUUAUCAUGUUGACCAAUAGGAGGGUUGUGUGAUGUUAUAAUUGUCCGAAUAUGAUUAUUUCAUACUUUGUUUCAAUGUCUGCUUGAUUUAUGAGUUCAUAUGUUUUUUUUUUGUUUCAGUUUUUCUCAUUGGUUUAUGAUUCACCAAGGAAGUUUAGAUGACCAAUGAGAGUCUAUGUUAAUUUGUACAUUUUCAGUUAGCCAUUUUAACCAAUAUCAACCGCCUUUGUGGGAGUAAAUUAAACCCAACCUUUGAAGGAAUGUUUAUACUUCAUCUGUUUUAUAAUUGCACCAUUUGGAUUUUAGACUAUUUAAGCAUUUCCUUUGACCAUUUUUUGGGGAUUCAUAUGUAAGAAAAAAUAUAGUCAUCUGACAUCGUGGUAGAUUCGUCUCAAUAUAUAAUUCUUAAAUAUAAUUUUUACAAAAGAUAAGUGAAGAUAUCUAUGGUUUAAUUUGUGCAUUGGUAUGCUUGAAAUCUCCAAACGUUGCAAUUGUCGGAAACGGAGGAAGUAUUUUUUCCGGACCACUAGAAUGGUUUUACAAGUUCAGAAGCUUGUUACAUCUCUGAGUGCAUUUGAGAUUAAUUUGUCUAAGCUGCUUUUCAGGUUGCGUAAAGGCUGGCUUUUAGAGGUUUAAACCUUUUCCUCUUCAUAGAAUUAGCUAGUGGAAUUCACAUGGGAUAUUCUUAGACCUCUUAGCUACUUUAAUCAAAUGUUAAUUAGCCCUUACCCUUAGAGCCAUUUUUUUGGUGAACCUUUUGAUAAUUAGUUCAUGACCCUGCCAGUUUAUGAGCAGUUGUGAGAGUAUAACUUUAUGGUGAGUUGGCGAGGGACUAAACAUGUCACUUGGUUCUCAGAAGAUUGAGUUUUUAGAGUAAAAAAAAAAGCAUAAAUCCAGAAAAAAAGAGUAUUAGCGAGCUACCCAAAAGGCUGAAAAGCUCACAAUUCCUCCCAUAUAUCUCCAGAGACCUGCCAGUAGGAGAAGCAGGACUUCUGCAGGGUUUUUCUUCCAUUUUUCUCCAAGCACAUGGCCUUCAAACCUGCAGUCGUCUUCUAGAGCUAGACAAAGUCUCCCAGAUUGACUUCUCGAAGCAGUUGUAGAUAUUCCUCAUUAUUUUCUUAAAGACAAGGGUAAAUGGUAUUGGUUGGUGGACUUGCUAAACCCUUGAGUUGCAUAGGAAGGUGUUCUAAGCUACUAUAGCCAAGUCUUUCAAAAUGUUGGUAGGUAUUAAUAUAUGAUUAGAAUAUUGUUAACUUGUUCAUUUUGAUGAUGGCUUAUAUGUUUACGACGUAUGUUAUAUUGGUGAGAACGUCAACUUUAUAAUGGAACUUGUCGUCCAAGUAUGUUGGCAUGUGAAAAUAGCUUGAUGGACUUGUGAUUGGUUGUUGGCAUGUGGAAAUAGUUUAGGGAUGAAUUUAUGAUACAAUUAUUUUAAGCACAAGGGACUAAGGGAGUGUUGUAUACUUUCAUCUGUGUUCUAGCGUAUCCCUUCUCCGUGUAAUUGUUCAAUAGUUGCUUAGUUCAAAUGACAUGAGUCUUACUUCCUGAGUACUGGAGGUUAGGUUAUCACAUCUGCCAAAAUAUUUCCUGUUGUGCCUCUUGAAUUCCACGUUUAUAUAACCUGUUGAUUUUCCUGUUGCA